rnacentral:ncRNA from 2 species
AAAAUACCACGCAGCAGAGGCUCCACAGAAAGAUUGGGGCGGGAUGAAACGGGAAGCCGGUGCGCCCCGCACCUGAAUCGUUUGUACACCAUGCCCCUUGGGGAACAUGACAAGCGAUUCAGGUGCGGGGUCAUCCCGGCGCUGCCCCCGCAACGGUAAACGAGUCAAGGCGAAUCAAGCGCCACUGUGGCGCACCCAAAUCGGGUGACGCGGUGCGAUAGUGCACUAACACCCAUGUCUGAUUUGGGUGCGCCACGGGAAGGCGAUUUGCCCGGGUUAAGACCCACUCGUGAGCCCGGAGACCGGCCUGAAGCAACACCAGAUG